UACGAAGGGGGCUAGCGUUUUUCGGAAUUACUGGGCGUAAAGCGCACGUAGGCGGAUUUGUUAGUCAGGGGUGAAAUCCCGGGGCUCAACCUCGGAACUGCCUUUGAUACUGCAAGUCUAGAGUCCGGAAGAGGUGAGUGGAAUUCCUAGUGUAGAGGUGAAAUUCGUAGAUAUUAGGAAGAACACCAGUGGCGAAGGCGGCUCACUGGUCCGGUACUGACGCUGAGGUGCGAAAGCGUGGGGAGCAAACAGG
rnacentral:rRNA from 1 species